rnacentral:rRNA from 1 species
CCAGACUCCUACGGGAGGCAGCAGUGGGGAAUAUUGGACAAUGGGGGAAACCCUGAUCCAGCGACGCCGCGUGAGUGAAGAAGUAUUUCGGUAUGUAAAGCUCUAUCAGCAGGGAAGAAAAUGACGGUACCUGACUAAGAAGCCCCGGCUAACUACGUGCCAGCAGCCGCGGUAAUACGUAGGGGGCAAGCGUUAUCCGGAUUUACUGGGUGUAAAGGGAGCGUAGACGGAGUGGCAAGUCUGAAGUGAAAACCCUGGGCUUAACCUGGGGACUGCUUUGGAAACUGUUAAUCUAGAGUGUUGGAGAGGUAUGUGGAAUUCCUGGUGUAGCGGUGAAAUGCGUAGAUAUCAGGAAGAACACCGGAGGCGAAGGCGGCUUACUGGACAAUAACUGACGUUGAGGCUCGAAAGCGUGGGGAUCAAACAGGAUUAGAUACCCUGGUAGUCCACGCUGUAAACGAUGAAUACUAGGUGUCGGGGAGCAAAGCUUCUCGGUGCCGUCGCAAACGCAAUAAGUAUUCCACCUGGGGAGUACGUUCGCAAGAAUGAAACUCAAAGGAAUUGACGGGGGCCCGCACAAG